GGGACGAUGGCUGCAAGGAAGUGCUUCGCGCACGGGCUAUUCCGACGA
rnacentral:ncRNA from 1 species